rnacentral:rRNA from 1 species
GGUGCUCGAGUGGCGAACGGGUGAGUAACACGUGAGUAACCUGCCCUUGACUUUGGGAUAACUUCAGGAAACUGGGGCUAAUACCGGAUAGGAGCUCCUGCUGCAUGGUGGGGGUUGGAAAGUUUCGGCGGUUGGGGAUGGACUCGCGGCUUAUCAGCUUGUUGGUGGGGUAGUGGCUUACCAAGGCUUUGACGGGUAGCCGGCCUGGGAGGGUGACCGGCCACAUUGGGACUGAGAUACGGCCCAG